rnacentral:lncRNA from 1 species
GGGAGAGGGAAUCCAGCUACCACCACCCAAAGCCAGCGUCUGCUUUCUGUCCUCAUUUCCUUUUCCCACCCAGCUCGGAGAGCAGAGAAAGGCAGAGAGAGCGAGAAAUAGAGACAGGCAGGCAAACAGACAGACAGACAGAACGGGAGGGAGGAGGGCGGCGGAGGAGGAACAGGAGGACUACGCGGGGCGCGUUCCCUCCCAGCAGCCGUGCGCCCGCGUCGCUGCCGCCGCGGGAAGACAGACGCCCCCCAAAGCCCCUCGCCUGGCUCGGACUCACGGAGCCAGCAGCCCAGCACUCCGAUGGAGUAACCAAGUCCGAAGGUGGAAGGAUGGUCAAGGCCAGCCUGCUGAUGAACCCCCUCCUUCCUGCCCCAUUUCUGCUGUC